rnacentral:rRNA from 1 species
AUUGAACGCUGGCGGCAUGCCUUACACAUGCAAAUCGAACGGUAACGGGCCUUCGGGUGCCGACGUGUGGCGAACGGGUGAGUAAUACAUCGGAACGUGCCCGAUCGUGGGGGGUAACGAGGCGAAAGCUUUGCUAAUACCGCACACGAUCUAUGUAUGAAAGCAGGGGACCGCAAGGCCUUGCGCGGUCGGAGCGGCCGAUGGCAGAUUAGGUAGUUGGUGGGAUAAAAGCUUACCAAGCCGACGAUCUGUAGCUGGUCUGAGAGGAUGAUCAGCCACACUGAGACUGGGACACGGCCCGAACCCCUACGGGAGGCAGCAGUGGGGAAUUUGGGACAAUGGGCGCAAGCCUGAUCCAGCCAGGCCGCGUGCAGGAUGAAGGCCUUCGGGUUGUAAACUGAUUUUGUACGGAACGAAAAGCCUUCUUUUAAUACAGGAGGGUCAUGACGGGACCGUAAGAAUAAGCACCGGCUAACUACGU